rnacentral:rRNA from 1 species
GGACGACCGCUGGCGGCGUGCUUACCCCAUGCAAGUCGAACGGAAAGGCCCUGCUUUUGUGGGGUGCUCGAGUGGCGAACGGGUGAGUAACACGUGAGUAACCUGCCCUUGACUUUGGGAUAACUUCAGGAAACUGGGGCUAAUACCGGAUAGGAGCUCCUGCUGCAUGGUGGGGGUUGGAAAGUUUCGGCGGUUGGGGAUGGACUCGCGGCUUAUCAGCUUGUUGGUGGGGUAGUGGCUUACCAAGGCUUUGACGGGUAGCCGGCCUGAGAGGGUGACCGGCCAAAAUGGGACUGAGGUACGGCCCAGGCUCCUACGGGAGGGAACAGGGGGGAAUAAUGCACAAUGGGCGGAAGCCUGAUGCAGCAACGCCGCGUGCGGGAUGACGGCCUUCGGGUUGUAAACCGCUUUCGCCUGUGACGAAGCGUGAGUGACGGUAAUGGGUAAAGAAGCACCGGCUAACUACGUG